rnacentral:tRNA from 1 species
GGUCGGGCAGAAGGGCUGGGACGGCUUCUCGAUCUCGAUCGUCGGCGCGUGACGUGAUGGCGGUACGCGCGUGCGGUCGCACCGCACGCUAGUUCU